rnacentral:sRNA from 1 species
GAAAGAUCCCAGGGUUCUGAUGGCAGCAGACCAGCCACGGAUGACUGAGAGGCUUCAAGAAGCCAACAUUCUACUGGAGGACAUCCAGAAAGGUCUAAAUGAUUACUUGGAGAAGAAGAGACUAUUUUUC